CAGCAGACACAUUCCAGCCAAUCAGCAGCAGACCCUCCCUCGCAGACCCUCCCACCUCCUGGACAGCAUCCAUUUUUAAGCUGCAUUCUUAGUGAGCUGUCCAGGAGGUGGGAGGGUCUGGGAGGGAGGGUCUGCUGCUGAUUGGCUGGAAUGUGUCUGCU
rnacentral:miRNA from 1 species